UACGUAGGGUGCAAGCGUUGUCCGGAAUUAUUGGGCGUAAAGAGCUCGUAGGCGGUUUGUCGCGUCUGCUGUGAAAACUCGGGGCUUAACUCCGGGCCUGCAGUGGGUACGGGCAGACUAGAGUGCGGUAGGGGAGACUGGAAUUCCUGGUGUAGCGGUGAAAUGCGCAGAUAUCAGGAGGAACACCGGUGGCAAAGGCGGGUCUUUGGUCUGUAACUGACGCUGAGGCGCGAAAGCGUGGGGAUCAAACAGG
rnacentral:rRNA from 1 species